rnacentral:RNase_P_RNA from 1 species
GAUGGCAGAUGAUCGCUGGUGAGCCGCGAGGCUUGCUGGAGGAAAGUCCGAACACCAUACGGCAGCAUGCCGCGUAAAAGACGCGGGCGCCGCAGUUGCAAAAUUGCGGCGACGGAAAGUGUCACAGAAAAGACACCGCCGGUUCUUUGGCAAUGUAGGGGAAGCUGUUAGCUUCCCGCGUCUAGAACAGGUAAGGGUGAAAAGGCGAGGUAAGAGCUCACCGCUCGCGGAGUAAUUCGCGAGGCAGGAAAAACCCCAUGCGGUGCAAGACAAAACAGAGGGAGGACAGCCGGUCCGUCGAUCCUCGGGUUCGUCGCAUCAUGGUCCCGCAACUGCGGGAUCGGGCGGUCCCGCGAAGGCGGGAUUGAGAUAAAUGAUCAUCGCCCAGCUUCUUUGCUCGCAAAGAGCUGUGGGACAGAAUUCGGCUUAUCGCCAUCAAAU